GACGAACGCUGGCGGCGUGCUUAACACAUGCAAGUCGAACGAUGAAGCGCCAGCUUGCUGGUGUGGAUGAGUGGCGAACGGGUGAGUAACACGUGAGUAACCUGCCCCCUACUCUGGGAUAAGCCUGGGAAACUGGGUCUAAUACUGGAUAUGACCAAUCACUGCAUGGUGUGUUGGGGGAAAGAUUUGUUGGUGGGGGAUGGACUCGCGGCCUAUCAGCUUGUUGGUGGGGUAAUGGCCUACCAAGGCGACGACGGGUAGCCGGCCUGAGAGGGCGACCGGCCACACUGGGACUGAGAUACGGCCCAGACUCCUACGGGAGGCAGCAGUGGGGAAUAUUGCACAAUGGGCGAAAGCCUGAUGCAGCGACGCCGCGUGAGGGAUGACGGCCUUCGGGUUGUAAACCUCUUUCGCCAGGGACGAAGCUAACGUGACGGUACCUGGAGAAGAAGCACCGGCUAACUACGUG
rnacentral:rRNA from 1 species